AAAAAGUUUUAAUUUGACUUAUUUAAUUAGUUUAUAUUUAUAUUAUAUAUAAUUUUUGAAUUUUAAAUAAUUAGGAGUUUAGUAAUAAAAUUUAAAUUUGUAAGUAAUUAUGAUUUAGUAAUUUAUAAUAAUAUAAACAAAAUUUGUGCCAGCAGUUGCGGUUAUACCAAUUAUAUAAUUGAUUAAUUUUAGUUUACAAUGAAUUGAUUAUUAAUUUUAAUAUUUUAAAUUUUUUAGGUAAAAUUUUAAAUUUAAUUAUUUAAAUAUAAUAAAUUUUGAUUUGUUAAAUUUUAUAUUAAACUAGGAUUAGAUACCCUAUUAUUAAAAAUGUAAAAAUUUAACUAAAUUAUUAAUAGUUAUGUUCUUGAAAGUUAAAAAUUUUGGCGGUAUUUUAGUCUAUUUAGAGGAACCUGUUCUGUAAUUGAUAAUCCACGAUUUAUUAUACUUAAUUUUAGUUUAUAUACCGUCGUAGUUGAAUAUUUUUGUAGAAUUUAAAUAUUCAAGAUUUUUAUUAAACAAUAAAUCAGAUCAAGGUGUAGCUUAUAAUUAAGAAGAAAUGGGUUACGAUAAUAUUAAUUUUGGUUAAGAAUUUGAAAAAUUUUUAUAAAUUGGAUUUAAUAGUAAUUAAAUAAAAUUAUUUUUAAUGAUUUUAGCUCUAAAAUAUGCACAUAUCGCCCGUCACUCUCAUUUAAAAUGAGAUAAGUCGUAACAAAGUAGAUGUACUGGAAAGUGUAUCUAGAUUGCA
rnacentral:ncRNA from 1 species